rnacentral:lncRNA from 1 species
GGCAACCUUGCACGUACUUGACAUUUGGCUGCCAUUCUAGUUUCCAUUCAAGUUGAGAGUUGAUCUUGAAAAAGCUUCUUUUCUAGUGUUAACAGUUUUUGCAUAAACAGCGCUGUAGAAAUGUCCAAAUGUUGCAUAUGGAAUGUCUCUUGUAACGUUUACGUCAAAACAUCCGUCAAUUGUCAUCGAAUAAGAACAAAAAAGAGGCAGAUUUUCAAUUCUCCAUUUCGAAGAUGAUUAAGAACUAGACGUCGGCAUGGAAGAGCAGCAGUGAUUUCUCCAACAAGACGGAACGCCACUCCACUAUGCCCUUCCUGUUCGAGUAUAUUUAAACCAAUUAUUUUCCAAUUGAUGGAUUCGGAGAAGAGGCCCGAUUUGACUCUGCUGUACUUCUUCCUUAGGUGAGGGCAAUCCUUUAAAAGUAUAGAUAGCACCGAUUUAUCUCAGUUGUGCACCAGUUAAACAUGCACUGAAAUUACAAACACCUUUAAGAAAGUUAUUUUGUUCAGCAAUAUAAUGACAUCAAUUAUGGUUAUCCUGUAGUCUAACUUUUGAAGACAAUUUCUCAAUUUAACAGUUUGUGGACGAAUUGCAUGGAUUUAGGAUGGUCAAUCAUUGUGUAAAAAAAAAAAAAAAAUGGGGCUAAAAUGGGGCCAUUACGUUGAUAGUAAAUAUUUUGUCUAAUAUUCAAUGGAACUUCCUUAGGUCUAUCAAAUUAAUUACGAAAAAGGAAAAUUGAUGCUGAAUGUGACUUUCCACUGUCACAUGUAGGUUAUUAUCAGAUCCAUAUAAAUGUAUAUUAUUUCCACAAUAUGCUGCUGAGGUAUCUUAGUGAUUUCAUAUUUGUGAUAUGUAGUUAGGAAUCAGUCUUUUAUGGCUGUGCUAUGGAUAGGUACACUAGUGUUCUACAAAGAAUAAUUGCCACAGAGCUUCAGAAUAAUUCUUUGUGGAAUGCAUGUGUAUGUGCAACCUGUACAUUUUGGGAUCUGCGUUUUUGAUAAUUUGUUCUGUUAAAGUAUCCAAAAUGUAACUCUUUCUUAUAACUCUGUACUUAUUCUCUGUUCUUAUUUUCUAUGUACUUCAUAUUAUGUAACUGAUCACAUAAUUAUUUUGAGUCAUUCAAACUUCUGUAUAAGUAACAUUUUUGAAUUUAUAACAAAGAACUCAAAUAUUAAUAAUAUAAGUUUCACCCAAUGUUUUGAAUUUUAAGAAAAUCAUGAUGCUUAAUGUCCAUAAUAAUUGUUUUGAAAAGGACUCAUCUUGGUCAAAGAGGUUGAGAUGAGAUCUUUUCGAGAUAUACAGGGUGUCAAAUAAAAAACGCCCCAAGCUGUAACUUUGUCAUUUACAUUCCGAUUUUCAUGAGCGAAAUAUCAAAUAGUAUAAUAGGAUAAUUAAAAUAGUUCGAAAAAAAAAGCAGAUUGACACUAAUGAAGUUCAAGCUCUUUGUUAUUUCUCGCAUUUUGUUUUUUUUUCUGUUCGCCAACCUGUUUGAUUUAUACUUAAGUUUUUUGGUUUCAAGUAGCCUUUCUUGCCACUUGUCCAGAGCUUAUUUGUUCUUCUUUCAUUGGCAGGUCUCCAGAGUCCGCUUAUUAGCAGCCAUCACUUCCCGGAUUACUAGACCGUCAGGCACAGAACAGUAGUAGAGAGAAAUGUUCACUCUGUGUUAAAAUAAGAGCAACACUACCCCCUCUAGAUUAGUAUGGCACACACGCGUGAAAUUUGAUUUCUAUAUACAAUAAGGUCUCGAUUUCCGUCGGGGUUACGUUCCGGUAAAGUGCCACGCCAAUCGAAUCACAUUAUUCCAUAAGACACCAUAUAAAUUUAUUAGAUUCGUUCCGGCAACGCGACGUCGUAAUUACUGUGUGAAAUGCGCACACAUAUGCAAAUAUUGUACAAAAUCAUUGCUGGGAUCAAUGUUGGGGAGUAUUUUAAUAAACUAUUCAAUAAUAAAAAUAUUUAUAAUGUA